rnacentral:rRNA from 1 species
GACGAACGCUGGCGGCGUGCCUAAUACAUGCAAGUCGAGCGAAUGGAAGGGAGCUUGCUCCCUGAAGUUAGCGGCGGACGGGUGAGUAACACGUGGGCAACCUGCCUGUAAGACUGGGAUAACUUCGGGAAACCGGAGCUAAUACCGGAUACGUUCUUUCCUCGCAUGAGGGAAGAUGGAAAGAUGGUUUCGGCUACCACUUACAGAUGGGCCCGGGGCGCAUUAGCUAGUCGGUGGGGGAAUGGCCCACCAAGGCGACGAUGCGUAGCCGACCUGAGAGGGUGAUCGGCCACACUGGGACUGAGACACGGCCCAGACUCCUACGGGAGGCAGCAGUAGGGAAUCUUCCGCAAUGGACGAAAGUCUGACGGAGCAACGCCGCGUGAGCGAAGAAGGCCUUCGGGUCGUAAAGCUCUGUUGUCGGGGAAGAACAAGUGCCAGAGUAACUGCUGGCACCUUGACGGUACCUGACCAGAAAGCCACGGCCAACUACGUGCCAGCCGCCGCCGUAAUAC